rnacentral:misc_RNA from 1 species
AACGCACGAGACCUGCGGACCUGCGGAGGGAUCAUUAUCGAAUCAAUUGGGUCUCUGGGAUGUCGCUGGACCCCUUCCGUCCGUGCACUCCCGGCCGGCCUUUUUUUCUUUUCGAUUCACCCCACAUCUUAUGUGCACUUGCUUGUAGGGGGGGGCACAACCUCUACGUUGCAUCUUACUUUAUUCCGAAAUGUUUUUCUGAAAGUCGUAUUUUGAUAAUCAUAAACAACUUUUAACAAU